CUUGCUAGAUGAUGACGAGCGGCGGACGGGUGAGUAAUACUUGGGGAUCUGCCUGAUGGCGGGGGACAACCACUGGAAACGGUGGCUAAUACCGCAUAAUACCUACGGGUCAAAGUGUGGGACCUUCGGGCCACACGCCAUCAGAUGAACCCAAGCGAGAUUAGCUAGUUGGUGGGGUAAAGGCUCACCAAGGCGACGAUCUCUAGCUGUUCUGAGAGGAUGAUCAGCCACACUGGGACUGAGACACGGCCCAGACUCCUACGGGAGGCAGCAGUGGGGAAUAUUGGACAAUGGGCGCAAGCCUGAUCCAGCCAUGCCGCGUGUGUGAAGAAGGCCUUCGGGUUGUAAAGCACUUUCAGUGGUGAGGAAGGGGUGCUAGUUAAUAGCUAGCAUCAUUGACGUUAGCCACAGAAGAAGCACCGGCUAACUCCGUGCCAGCAGCCGCGGUAAUACGGAGGGUGCGAGCGUUAAUCGGAAUUACUGGGCGUAAAGCGCACGUAGGCGGUUUGUUAAGCAAGAUGUGAAAGCCCAGGGCUCAACCUUGGAAUUGCAUUUUGAACUGGCAAGCUAGAGUUUUGAAGAGGGUGGUAGAAUUUCCAGUGUAGCGGUGAAAUGCGUAGAUAUUGGAAGGAAUACCAGUGGCGAAGGCGGCCACCUGGUCAAAAACUGACGCUGA
rnacentral:rRNA from 1 species